GACAGAGGGUGCAAACGUUGUUCGGAAUUACUGGGCGUAAAGCGCGUGUAGGCGGUUAUGCAAGUCGGGUGUGAAAGCCCGGAGCUCAACCCCGGAAGUGCAUUCGAUACUGCGUAGCUAGAGUACUGGAGAGGAUGGUGGAACUCUCGGUGUAGAGGUGAAAUUCGUAGAUAUCGAGAAGAACACCGGUGGCGAAGGCGGCAUCCUGGACCGGCAUUGACGCUGAGGCGCGAAAGCCAGGGGAGCAAACGGG
rnacentral:rRNA from 1 species